UUGUUUGCAGAAGUAGCAUCAUCAAGAUUCACAUGUGAAUGUGGCUAAGUGGAAAUAUAUAUAUAUAUAUAUAUUUCUGCUAAUCUAUUUUAUUUGAAGUGAGAAUCUUGAUGAUGCUGCAUCAGCCAUAAA
rfam:Cicer arietinum chromosome Ca1, whole genome shotgun sequence.